UACGAAGGGGGCUAGCGUUGUUCGGAAUUACUGGGCGUAAAGCGCGCGUAGGCGGUUUUGCAAGCCAGAGGUGAAAUGCCUGAGCUCAACUUAGGAAUUGCCUUUGGGACUGCGAGGCUUUGAGGACUGGAGAGGUGAGUGGAAUUCCCAGUGUAGAGGUGAAAUUCGUAGAUAUUGGGAAGAACACCGGUGGCGAAGGCGGCUCACUGGCCAGUUUCUGACGCUGAGGCACGAAAGCGUGGGGAGCAAACAGG
rnacentral:rRNA from 1 species